rnacentral:rRNA from 1 species
CCUACGGGAGGCAGCAGUGGGGAAUUUUGGACAAUGGGCGCAAGCCUGAUCCAGCUAUUCCGCGUGUGGGAAGACGGCCUUCGGGUUGUAAACCACUUUUGUAGAGAACGAAAAGUCUGUUGAUAAAACCGAUAGAUGAUGACGGCACUCUAAGAAUAAGCACCGGCUAACUACGUGCCAGCAGCCGCGGUAAUAUGUAGGGUGCGAGCGGUAAGCGGAAUUACUGGGCGUAAAGGGUGUGCAGGCGGUUUUGCAAGACGGAUGUGAAAGCCCCGGGCUUAACCUGGGAAAGCCAUACAUGACUGCAAGACUAGAGUGCGUCAGAGGGGGGUGGAAUUCCAAGUGUAGCAGUGAAAUGCGUAGAUAUUUAGAAGAACACCGAUGGCGAAGGCAGCCCCCUGGGACGCAACUGACGCUCAUACACGAAAGCGUGGGGAGCAAACAGGAUUAGAUACCCGGGUAGUC